GACGAACGCUGGCGGCGUGCUUAACACAUGCAAGUCGAACGGAAAGGCCCUGCUCUUGUGGGGUGCUCGAGUGGCGAACGGGUGAGUAACACGUGAGUAACCUGCCCUUGACUUUGGGAUAACUUCAGGAAACUGGGGUUAAUACCGGAUAGGAGCUCCUGCUGCAUGGUGGGGGUUGGAAAGUUUCGGCGGUUGGGGAUGGACUCGCGGCGUAUCAGCUUGUUGGUGGGGUAGUGGCUUACCAAGGCUUUGACGGGUAGCCGGCCUGAGAGGGUGACCGGCCACAUUGGGACUGAGAUACGGCCCAGACUCCUACGGGAGGCAGCAGUGGGGAAUAGUGCACAAUGGGCGGAAGGCUGAUGCAGCAACGCCGCGUGCGGGAUGACGGCCUUCGGGUUGUAAACCGCUUUCGCCUGUGACGAAGCGUGAGUGACGGUAAUGGGUAAAGAAGCACCGGCUAACUACGUG
rnacentral:rRNA from 1 species